AGCAGGAGGCUUCUGGACAGCGGUCGCCAGGCUCUUCAGGGGUUCAGGGGGGUCUCCAAGAGAGAGAGAGCUUUUGUGAGGGAAACUUCAUGUGAGAGAUAAUUGGGUGUACAAGGGUUGAGGGUGAGGUCUCCUCUUGUAAAAUUUUCUUUUCAUAGUGAAGUAUGCAUGCCCCGUGGAGGCGAGCCCUUUUGUGGCUGAUCCACGUAUUUUGAUUGUUUUUCUUUUGUUUUGUUUCUUCUUUCUUCCUGCUGCAUCGCGUGGUACUGAAAGGGUCUUGGGAGAUGGUGUCCUGGCCAGACAUCCACCCAAC
rnacentral:lncRNA from 1 species